GCCCUGCUCCACCAGGUAGAGCUGGGAGGUUUCUAUCGUCAUCUGAAUUAAACAGGGAAGGGACACUCGAGACUGGGGGACAAACAGGAAAAAAGAGCCAGCAAAGACUGGUAGUAAUUUAUUGUUACACACACACACACACACACACACACACACACACACACACACACACUAGGUUAACAUCAACCACCGCACCAUCCAGGCACUCCCCAGCCACCACGUGUGGGCACAAAGACACACACACCCCUCUUGGUAGGCAGAUUUCCCUGUCUGCUCCCCUCUUCCUGUGGGAGAGGCAUGCCUUCUGGGCAGUUUAAAGGUGGGAAGUUACAGGGGCCUAAAAAGGUAAAAGAGCAGCAGCUCUGCACUGGCCAGCUGUAAACAGUAAAUAGGCCAGUCAUGGAGGGUCCUGAAUCCAGAUCCUCAGGAAGGUUUUCACCAAACACCACAGUCCCAUUUGAUGUGAUGCCCAGCCUCUAUCCUUAAGGCAUUUCCAGCGUCCCUGAGGCGCUCUGCUUAGACAACUGGCACAGAAGUGGUCAGGGCCUUGGCUGUGGCUCUGCCUCCUGCCUCACGGGAAGCCGGGGAGUGGAGCAGAGACCAGCAUUAGGGAGCCUUGUGGCAGUGGUGAGAGGCUGCUCAGGAAGGAGCUGUGCCUCUCCCCUGGUCCUGGCCCCAUGCCCUCAGCAUCCUUAAGAAACACGGCUGUCCACCUUUUUCCCUGCAAGAAAACUAAGUCCAUCCCUUAUGACUGUCUCGGGCCCCAAAGGUGAAGGGCAGCUCCGGCAAGGGGAGAACUCCGAUUGAUUGGAGUCCCUGUUGGGGCAGUAGCAGGGUUCCACCCACCGCGGUCCUAGGCCUGGGGGCGAAGUCCAGGCCUGGCCACAAGGUUCAAAGAUGUGUCAGACCCAAGCCGCUACCCCCUACUCCGAGGGCGAGGGCGGAGAGGCUCAGCCCCAGGGGCGGGGCCUGUAGUCGGAGGCCGAGCGGGCGUGGUCCGGGUAGUCCAGGCGGCUCUCGGUGGCAGUGAGCAUGCGCUCCGGCUCCACCACGAACAUGUAGUAGAGGUUCCACAUCAGCAUCGACAGCAGUGGCAGAAACGUCAGGCCGUAGCCGAAGCCUCGGAAGGAGCGGCCCACGGCAAAGAGACAUGGUCUUGCUAUGUUGCCAGUCUGGGCUCAAACUUCUGGCCUUGAGUGAUUCUCUCACCUCAGACUCCUGAGUAGCUGGGAUUACAGAUGCGGGCCACCACACCUGGCUGUACAAACUUUAAAAUGUUUGAGCAAAUUCAAUGAGUAUAGUAAAAUAUCUUCCUCCCUUUACCGAUUCCCACCCUAUUCUCCCCCACCCCCACCCCAGG
rnacentral:lncRNA from 1 species